UACGAACUGUGCAAACGUUAUUCGGAAUCACUGGGCUUAAAGGGUGCGUAGGCGGCUUGUUAAGUAGGGUGUGAAAUCCCAAGGCUCAACCUUGGAAUUGCGCCCUAAACUGGCGAGCUGGAGUGAGAUAGGGGUGUGUGGAACUUCCGGUGGAGCGGUGAAAUGUGUUGAUAUCGGAAGGAACGCCAGUGGCGAAAGCGACACACUGGGUCUCAACUGACGCUGAGGCACGAAAGCCAGGGGAGCAAACGGG
rnacentral:rRNA from 1 species